AAAAACAUCGCCUCCUGCAUAUAUAGGAGGUCUAGCCUGCCCAGUGACAAAGUUAAACGGCCGCGGUACCCUAACCGUGCGAAGGUAGCGCAAUCACUUGUUCUUUAAAUGAGGACUAGUAUGAAUGGCAUCACGAGGGUUAAACUGUCUCCCCCUUUUAAUCAGUGAAACUGAUCUCCCCGUGAAGAAGCGGGGAUAUUUAUAUAAGACGAGAAGACCCCAWGGAGCUUUAAACUUAACACUACCUGCCAGCCCACAUAUCUAAUCAAACAGACAGAGCUAGAAGUUAGUUUUCGGUUGGGGUGACCGCGGAGUAAAACAAAACCUCCACGAUGAAUGACUUCCUCUAAUCAAAGAGCUACAACUCGAAGAAUCAACAAACUGACAUAAAUUGACCCAAUAUUACUUUGAUCAACGAACCAAGUUACCCUGGGGAUAACAGCGCAAUCCAUUUCAAGAGCUCCUAUCGACAAAUGGGUUUACGACCUCGAUGUUGGAUCAGGGUAUCCUAGUGGUGCAGCCGCUACUAAAGGUUCGUUUGUUCAACGAUUAAAACCCUACGUGAUCUGAGUUCAG
rnacentral:rRNA from 1 species